GGAAUUCGGUGUGGGCUACACAUAACACUGUUUGUCGAAUGGUAUUUAUCACUUCAUUGUGAUAACUCCCAUUUCAGUUCAUGAAUGACACAUGCAACAUAACGUUAACGAUAUUAACGUUCCUGAAUGAUAUGAAUGUAUUACCACUAUUUGAAUGUACUCAAUGAAUAUGAGAUUGAUUUGAAUAGAGACAUGUAUGGUAUUGUAUGUUCAAUAUAUCAUUUGUAUUGCAACCUGAGCUCAGGCGUGAUUACCCGCUGAACUUAAGCAUAUCAUUUAGCGGAGGAAAGAAACUAAAUGAU
rnacentral:rRNA from 1 species